rnacentral:rRNA from 1 species
UACGAAGGGUGCAAGCGUUACUCGGAAUUACUGGGCGUAAAGCGUGCGUAGGUGGUUCGUUAAGUCUGAUGUGAAAGCCCUGGGCUCAACCUGGGAAUGGCAUUGGGAACUGGCGAUCUAGAGUGCGGUAGAGGGUAGUGGAAUUCCCGGUGUAGCAGUGAAAUGCGUAGAGAUCGGGAGGAACAUCUGUGGCGAAGGCGACUGCCUGGACCAGCACUGACACUGAGGCACGAAAGCGUGGGGAGCAAACAGG